UCUAUGAAAGUCAAGGAAAUGGGUGCACUCCGCAGCUAGAGGGCAGGCUCAUUUUUCCUUUAAAACUUGGGAAUCACUUCCUUGCAGCUGCAGUGACUGCUAGAGUACCCAACUGAAGUGGCUAAGAGAAAAUGAAUGUGAAGCAAGCUAAGAAGUCUCUGCAGAGCAUGGUCUCAGCAGUGGUUGCACCUCCCAGUCAAAACCUCAUGGGCACCCUUGAUGGCAGCAACAUGGAAGAAGCCUACCUGAGAAAUAAGGCUUGGUCUGGACCUGAGCACUUCUGUCAGCUGAGCAGCAGUCAGAAAUCAGGAAAGUCCACAGAGGUGGAAUCCACUGAAAAAUACACCACCCUGUGUGUUUUGGUGCCCUGGAUGGCACACUGCACUGGUCUGAAGUGUGAGAGCAUGGCUUGACAUAAACGCAGCCCUCAGUAGAGUCUGUAACUGAGAAAAAUGGUUCCUUUCACUGCACUUCCUCCUGCCUAUCUGCAAAUGCCAAAUCCUUAUGGCCCUAAUGUGGACAUCUGGUGCAUCAUUUCAAUAGAGAAAGGCUAGAAAGAUAUUUGGAUUUGGACAAUGAAGGUCCCAUUAAAGGUCUGAAGAGCCUACAUCCUUGGGAACACAAAAAGCCGUGAGAAGUGCUUUGGCUGUUCACCAGCCAAAGGCAGAGGUUUCUCUGAAAAAGCACUGUUGGAACACAGGAGGAGAAAGAAAGAGAUGUUUACACACAGCUGUGUCAAUGCAGCAGGGAUUGGGCAGGCAGAGGUGGAGCUGUCAGGAGACAGCCUGGUGGGAGGGCUGCCCACUGCCCUCCUCUGCCUGCUCUUCUCUUCAGGUUAUUCUAAUGGCCAUGUUUCAAGUGACACUAUUA